AUAGAAUAAAAAUAUUUAAAAUACAGUUAAGUUCCACCUCCCUUGAAUAGGGCUCUUCUCCUAUGCAGAACUUUUCACAAUCCUCAUAAACCUGCCAUCUUUAUAGUCAUCUAAGUACCCAAGCACCUACUAAAUUACCGUCGGCCCAUAGGUCUUCUCACCCUGGUCACAAGUUCUUCUGGAAGUCUAUACUGCAUGUUGUCUUGUGUCCACCAUAGCUUUUUCCUCCUGGAGAGGUAGCUUCUUAUUCUGGGGACAAUGAGGAAGCCAACAGCUUGAAGACCCACAGAAGAUCCAUCAUCUCCAAGGCCCGUAACUCUGCUUGUUCUAUCCAAAGGAGACACAUUAGAGAGGAAAGACGAUCAGGUGGUUGGCUCCCUCCAUCCUGAAGUAGACCCAAGGUGAGGAGAAAACUUCCUGAGCCUCCCGGAAAGCCCUGCUCCCGGUCGACAUUAACACACGUGGCUGUAUCUCUGUCAGUCACGCUAUUUGCAGCAAACUCUAUUAUGAUGUACUGCUCACCCUGUGUCACAGCAGGUUCUAGACAGCAUGCAGUUAAGCCUAAGCUUGAUAAAUACUCGAAUAAUACGAUCAAUAAAAAUAAUCAAUACAGUCACCUCCUGGUGCCUCACUUCUAGUUAGCUGAAGAAAAUGACAAGGACUCCACCACAGUGCCUGAGUCGACAGGAAGCACUGUUUGUAACGUUAUAGAGCUGUCAAUCAGUCACACGUGUCUGACCACCUCAGAUCCGAAGAGUUCCACGGGCUACCUCGAUUCUCAGCGUGGCCGGGAUCCAGCAGUGCUCACUACGAAGUUAGCAUUUGUCUGCGCGGUUUUGAAGUCUGCUCCACAGGAGAUUUCACUGAAGGAAGAGGCAGACAGCAUGGCUGCUUCCCCAUGAGGGAGAACCACAACCAUCCAAUUUGGGCAGGAUCCUUCAUGUCCUGACCCAGAGCGAUGUCAGGUUUGUGCCCAAACCGGGGUGAGGAGACACAUAAACACGGAAGUAUAGGUUCAUCUGCUGGAUUCUCAUUCUCCGAAGAAGAAUGGCUGAUAAAGUGAAGAAGACAGCAUCUUAGAACCAGUAAGUCCUCGUGCUCUACUUGCUAUUUUUCUCUGCCCCUUUAAACAUAUCAAUUGUGCUGACAGCCGUAAACCAGGUGACAGUUACGCAAAUGGCUGUCUCCAGAAAGUAAACCAUAUUUGUGUAAGUUCAUAGGAGAUAGGAGUAGUUGGUGCAGUCUCUUGAGCCUCCCGGGAUAGAUGAGGAAGGAAAGAUGUACCCACUCCUCGGCUGUGGAGCAAACAGGUUUGCAUGGACUGCCCAAACUUGGUGCGGACAUUUGAAUGAGAGCUGUCCCCCAACAGCUGUAUAUUUGAACACAUGGUCCCCGGUUGAUAGAGCUGUUUGGGGAGAUUAUGGAGCCUUUAGGGGUACAGGCUUGUUAAAGGAAGUUCUUCACUGGGGAUGGGCAUUGAGAGUUUAUAGUCUCACUCCACUUCCUGCUUCCUGUGUGGAUGAAAAUGUGACCAGCCAGCUUCCUGCUUCUACCACCUGCUGCACCGUCCCCACCAGGAUGAACUCUGUCCCUCUGAACUGUCAGCCGAAAUAAACUCUUUGCUUUUG